GUGAAGGUGAGUUUCAGUUAUGCUUGUGUGCUCCUUCUCUCACCUUUUCCCUCAUAUGUCACAGACAGACAAACAUGCACUGGCUGUUGUUGACAGACUGACACUGAAAAUCUUGGAUGUUAAAUGUAAAGUCUUGAAGCUAAACCUUCAACGACCACAGCAGGAAUCUGAAAAGUCAUGGAAAUGGACAAAGACGGAAUUUUCCUUUUUCAAAUUUUUGUGGAAUCACUUCCACUGAAGGACAGCAGAGGACUUCUCAACAAUACAGGUGCUACCAUGGCCAGAGGCUGUGUCUUCUCCGGUGCAGGAUACCGGGUUGAAUGGAGAAGUGGAUGACGGUGUAACUCAGCUCUCUGUGCAGUGUGUCACCGACCCUACCGGACUGAAUGGAAGAGUAGUGUAUGAUGGCGAGGAAUACAGCCUCCGUCCUGUUCAGCAUGUCACCAACCCUUCUGAAUUAGACGAAGUCAUUGUUGAUGAAGGAGAUCACAACCUCCGUCCUUCAAGACCUCAAGCCUCGUCUUUGGCUCGUUCUGGGACUCGCAGAGCAAGUGCACCAUGGUGGGAGGCACUCAAUCCUAUGCUCGUGGUGCAAUGGCUGCUGCAGUGGCUGCUGCA